CAGAUUGUAGAACUCGUCAUGGCAACUGCCAUUUCAGAUGACCAAGUGUCAUAUCUGGCACUCUUGAUCAGUGAUUACAUCUGUGAGAGGGCUCUACAAGUUGAUGGAAUUGGAAGUGGAAGAGCUACAGUUGUUGUCUUCCUCUCAGCUGAUGGACAUACAUGCAUAUGUCCCGUACAGACUCCUCAACUGUCUUGUGAUCAGGCUGCGGAGUUCACUAUUGUUCGACGAUUUUGAAGAUGAUAGUCAAGAUCUGGAGCCUUGAUAAAACAAUAAAGAAACUGGCAGUGGUUGCCACUUUCGACGCCAUAAAGAAAAAGGCCAUAGAGUUCGGUAUAUGCUGCAAUGGAGACAU
rnacentral:misc_RNA from 1 species